GACGAACCGUGCGAACGUUGUUCGGAUUCACUGGGCUUAAAGGGCGCGUAGGCGGGCGGUCAAGUCGGGGGUGAAAUCUUUCCGCUUAACGGGAAGCGUGCCUCCGAUACUGAUCGCCUCGAGGGAGGUAGGGGCAUGUGGAACUUCCGGUGGAGCGGUGAAAUGCGUAGAUAUCGAAAGGAACGCCGGUGGCGAAAGCGACGUGCUGGACCUCUUCUGACGCUGAGGCGCGAAAGCUAGGGGAGCAAACGGG
rnacentral:rRNA from 1 species